rnacentral:rRNA from 1 species
AGGGGUAAAUGGUAGCAAUACUAUGAGAUCGGCGAACGGGUGCGUAACGCGUAUGCAACUUACCUUAUGCAGGCGGAUAGCCCGUGGAAACGCGGAUUAAUAUCCCAUAGAUCAGUAAUAUCGCAUGGUAUAACUGGUAAAACUCAGGUGGCAUAAGAUGGGCAUGCGUCUGAUUAGCUAGUUGGUAGGGUAACGGCCUACCAAGGCGACGAUCAGUAGGGGUUCUGAGAGGAUUAACCCCCACACUGGUACUGAGACACGGACCAGACUCCUACGGGAGGCAGCAGUGAGGAAUAUUGGUCAAUGGGCGCAAGCCUGAACCAGCCAUCCCGCGUGAAGGAAGAAGGCCCUACGGGUUGUAAACUUCUUUUCUGUUUGAAGAAUAAGCUCGUCGAGACGAGUGAUGCCGGUAGGACAGGAAUAAGCAUCGGCUAACUCCGUGCCAGCAGCCGCGGUAAUACGGAGGAUGCAAG